UGAUGUUUUUAUCAGCUGUUUGGACUCUCAUUCUGACGGCACCCAUUCACUCUAGAGGAUCCACUGGUGAACAAGUGAUGAAAUGCUAUUCUGAUGAAGAAACAAACUCAUCCACAUCUUGAAUGGCCUGAGGCCGAGGGUAUAUAAAUGUUCAGCAGAAUUCACCUGUAAUUAUAUAAUAAUACCAUGUGUUUUUGUGGUCAUGUGCUUUAAAUCUAAGAGUGGAUUUGUUCUGUAUGUACUGCCAAAGUAACUAAAGCAUUUUGAGCUCUCCUGAUUCCGCAGAGGAGUUACAAUAAUUGUCUACAGCCACUCACAGUACCAAUAAAGUGUUAUUUUGUUGCAUUUAUUGCGAAGUCUGUUCAUUCUAGUACUCCAUUAAACUAAAUCUGUCGUUGCUGUACAUCUGUUACUGCAGGGGAAACUAGCAUUAUCUGAUUUGCCCGAUGACUUCGCUGAAUGCCAGAGCCUCUGGUAUCGCCUUGAUGCAGAAUAAAUUGGACUCAUCUUGCAAUUUAUAUCCCUUAAAGCAAGCAUAUUCCACCAUGGCUAGACAGCGAGACGAAGAUAACUGUUCUCAUUCUGAAGAUGCAUAAUUCCACCUGGACGUUCACGCGCUCUUAAUUAACUUAUUUUCUGUCCUGCUGACAUCCUGCUCAUGACAGAAAGCAGAGUUGAAGCUAUCAGACGGUGACCAAGAAAAGUGAAACAGGCUCUCUUUGAAGAUGACUAAUUGUUUCAGAUUUUCUUCACAUUUAGAUGACGACCACAUUGUGCCGAGAGUCUGACUGAUGCCGUCUCCAAAAAUAGAGCAUUGGGAGCGUCCGCUACAGAAGAUAGAUGUUCACAGUUUGACAGACUCAGAGGAAAUAAAUUUGUUGCCUGAGCACAUUUAAGAUUCGUUGCAUGCCUGAGUUUAUUUCCCCGUUGUUUUGUACUCUUCGACGAUGGUUUAAUAAAAAUGCACCGACUGAAUCUAUCAAGUGGGCACCACAAUAAUUAUAGGUCAAGUUCAAUUUCCAGGCUAACUGUUAAAAAACAAACUUGUGAAGGUUCAGGGACCUUCUGUUAAAGGCGCAGCACUCUGUGGAAACCUGUGGAGUCCAAUCUGGUUUUGUAAAUUUGACCUGCUGUUAGAAGAAACGUUUUUGGAUAGGAAAUGAAAUGCAAAAUGAGGAACUGUCAUUGUGAGCUGAUUACCUCGUUUCAAAAAUUUAUAAAUAAUUGAACCUACAAAGAAAUAAUGGAGAAUGACAACGGCAACAUGCAUUAUUCAUGGAUGUUGACUUUGUUCCAAAUGCAUGGAUUAUUAUUGUGAUGAAAGAAUAAUACUGAUAUGUUGUAUCCAAUGAAAUCAUAAUUUAGGCUGGACGUUAGUUUACUUUCAUAAGCAUACAAUUUAUUAAAAUUAGCAUAUUAAUAACAGUGUUUUUCCCUACACUUCUGCAGCCAUAUUUCUAGAAUUAUAAUUGCGGUUGUUCUUAAUGAUGGAU